UGGGGCGUCGCCAAGUCGGUAAGGCACCGGGUUUUGGUCCCGGCAUUCGGAGGUUCGAAUCCUUCCGCCCCAGCCA
rnacentral:tRNA from 1 species